GGUGCUUGAAGAGAGGUCUUCCAUGAUGCAUUCGCUUUAUUUUUCGACGAAUCAUACAUGGUUGACCUUUUUUUAAGUAUC
rfam:Equus caballus chromosome 24, whole genome shotgun sequence.